rnacentral:lncRNA from 1 species
GAACAUGUCAAAGCCAAGCAAACCAUAACUAGCAUUCUAAUGACCUUGCAUUGUUAGAUAAAUGAUAACAUUAUAGGAUGAAGUUCACAAGGGAAAAGGAACAUAUUCCCUUCCUCACUCAGUAAAUUUAUGACAGCAAGGGUCCAGAAACCCUAGGGAACACAAGUCAGUUACACCUUUUGCAUGAGGUCUAUUUAACAAAGCAAAAUGAGCACAGCAGGGAAAUUUUUCUAAAACUUUUUAUUUAUAAGUAAAUAUUGGACACCAAGAUUUAUACAUUAUGUAUGACCUAUACAUACCUUGAGGGCUGUUUCCUGUACUGUGUCUCUCUUUAUGUUGUUAGUUAAAUAAAAAAGUGAACCAUAAAAAUGUCCCAAUAACACAUUUUCUAUCAACUAUCCAGGAAAAUCAAAUUUCUUUACCAUAUAGACACAAAAGUGAUAUUCUUUAAAAGGAAAACCAGAUAAUAGCCUUAAAAAUUGUUUCACAAUGGUUUAUGAUAAAAUCUAAACUCUAUUAGGCUGACAUAACAUGUUUCUUGCUCGUUUCUCUGCCCUUGUCUCUUAGGAUGCUUCUCUCCAUUCUCUGGGCUCCAGGGUUCUGAUUCCUCAAGCGCCUGCAACCUGCCUGGCUUCUUCUGGCUGCAGGACGUGAACACACACCCCUCACUCUUCAUGAUGCGGUCAAAUGGUUUUCUAAGGAUCAUGACCAGUGAAGCAGAAGGAUCAGGAAUUGUUAGAUUCAAAAGGCUUGUGAUUUUUCCUUUAUGCUACACUGCCACGAAAGAGAAAAACGAAAUCAGAAAAUAAACAUUCAAAAACCUGUUUUUCAAAUUGCUUCAAUAUGUCUUCAGCAAUCCAUGUAUAUAAUGUGUGUGUGUUCAUUCAAUUGUUUUCUUCAUUAAAACCAUAAUCGUUUAGUAUCCACAGACCCAGUAUCAGAUUUAGUAGCUUAGCGAAUGUCUGAAUGAAAUGAAUCGGCAUUUCUGGCUUUAAAAAGAAUUCUCAUUUUAUGUCCAACAUGAGCGUUGGCCAGACUUUUCACAUCCUUUUUUAUGUUUGAGAAAAGAAAAAAAAAACGAUGUGGCAACAUCGUUUGAAAAUUUUCACAUCCUAUUUCACAUACAUUUUUAGCCUCUGAGAGUACAAAACUUGAAUUUUUAAAAAGCAAUUAAAAAUGGACUAAUGAUGUGACAUAACAAUAUGUUUUUGUAUUUUCAGUUUUUCCUUGUGCAUCACCGGCACAUAAUGACGGAUGCAGUCAUAUAAAUGGUAAUAAUUUCCUUGGCCCCAUCCCUGCUUGCUGAUAGAUCUCAGCUCUCUCGAUAGAGUCCCUCUGGUUCUCCUGGGAACUCCCUCCCCCAGAUUGCCCCCCACACACUGAUGAUCAGGUGGGCCUCCCAGUCCUGCUUUGGCAUCUGCUGGUUGCCUCAAUGUCUAUCAGACCCCCCAACCUCAUGGCAGCUGGGGUACUGAAGGCCUUGAUGUGUUAAAACUCCUCAGGUUUCUGCUUCAAAUGGGAAAGGCUUCUUACAGGUGAUCAAAGAAGUGCUGUUCCUUUUCUAAAGUCUUGGCUAAGAUGCUAGUAAAGGUUCUCUUCUGAUUCGUUCUUCA